rnacentral:lncRNA from 1 species
GACCCGAGCUGGGGAGGGGCGGUGGCUUUAUGCUGACAAAACAACAGCUGCCCGUUAUCCCCUCCCCGGUUUAGCUCCAUCACAACCCCACCUCCGUGUGCUUACCGGAGUGGCCAUGGGCUGUCUUGGAAUGGGCAGAAUGUCGUAAGAUGAGGAGAAGAAACAGAGGCUCAGCGAGUGAGGUCGCAUACCCGAGGUCACCCAGCAAGCAGUAUUCCAACCCAAUUCUCCAUCCGAAGCUCUCAGCAGCAUUCCGGAAACAGCGCCAGGCCCCCUGGAGGAGCUGGUCUGCUGCUGGCUGCGGGGCUGGAAGGGGCCUG